ensembl:lncRNA
GCUUUUUGGCAUCUCCCUGGGGUGUUUGCUGAGAACUCAGUGCACCCGGACCGUCAGAUCCCUCUGAGUUGGUAAGCAAUCUUCCCUAGCAUUUAUUUAUGCUCAAGGAGGAGAACAAUGAGAAGAAAUUGAGACCCAAGAGAGCCUGUCGUGUGCAAAUGCAGAAGAACCAAGAAAGCUGUAAAAUUGCCUCCCCUCCCAGCCAGCCCUGUUCGGGAGAAUGGAACCUUCCAUUAACCCUGUUUAAGGGACUGACUUUCCACCUCUGGUAGAAACCAGACAAGGGCCCCUCCACACACCUCAACAAGGUGGUGGCCCUGAUGACUGCCCUGGUGACCCCGUUCCUCAACCCCUUCAUCUUCACCUUCCGGAAUGAGAAGGUCCAAAAGGUCACAGAGGAUACGUCCAAAAGGAUCGUCCUCAGACACCCAGCCGCCCUCAGAGGAGAGCACAGAGGGGGGCUGUCCACUGCGGGU